UGCUGCUGAGAGGAGGGGAGGGAAGGUUGUGAGCAAGCGCAGCGCCCACUGGGUGGCCCCAGAGAUGGGGCUGGGAAGGAAUUGCUGCGAGGGGGCGAGGGGAACAGCCUGCCUCUCAGUUGUCCCAGGUGCCUAAGACCCCACCCCCGGAACCCCCGCCUGAUUCUGGGAGUUUUUCUCAUGGAGGUGGAGUGAGCAGCAGGGGACCAGAUGACUCCCCUGCCUCCUGCCUCCCCCGGCCGGGGGCUGGUCCCCUGGGAAGCAGGCUGGGGGUCACUCCGUGUGAACAGCGAGCUCCAGGGCCAUCGCUAGAGGAUGUCACCAUCCCUGGGCAGCACCCCCGCAGAGGAAAGGACAGGACUCUGGGCAAAAGUUGGCCAAACCCUCGCAGAGUCAGCGAGCAUUCCCAGGGAAUUCUAUCACAAAGGCCGUCCCCUGGGUUCCUGGGGCUGCCUGUGCCGGGAGCCCCAGCCCUGGGCGCAGGAGGGCAGGUGGGGAGAGGAAAGGUCCCCUGCCAGCGUGCUGUGAGGAGCCCUUGAGGAAGACGUGCUUUGCAGACUUGGCACCAACACCCCCUCUCCUGCUCCCAGCCACCCCACUGGAGGCCAGGAACAUUUCUCAGUUUAUUUUGGGGUGAAGGCUGCGAGUGAAGUGCCAGAUACAGUGUCCACCUCCUCCUCCUCCUCCUCAGGCACCCUCCCUAGGGCAGUGGGGACUGUCCUUAACCAUCCUGGGGGUGAUGGUGGCUACCUCUGCAAAAUGAUUUCUCCUUUCAGUGAGUGGGUGUCUCUCAUGUCACUGUUGAGACACCCAGGAGCCUGGGAGGGAAACCUGUGGGAAGGAACUGCCAGCCUCCUUCUGGGAACCAGGUGACCCCAGGAUCACGGCUCAGGUGGAUCCAGCCCUCGAAACCCUGUGAGGAGCUCUGUGGAGCCUCGCUCAGAAAGGGGGGCUGGGAAGAGGCAGCUGCCAGCCCACAGCCCAAGCCUGCAGGGGCCACAAGUGUGGCCACUGGAGAGGGAGGCGCCUUUUGUGGAGCAGCAACCCUGGGUCUGGCUGCACCUGCCACUUAAGAACCCUGAUGGGGUGCUGUUCUCACUGCUGUGUGGACGCAUAGAGCCUCCGGGGGCCAAGGAGCCUCUGGGGCCAGGCAGCAGGUGAGGCAUGGCCUGUAAUGCACACAGGUGUUGCUGGGUCUGCCCCCACCUUCACUCCCGCUCACCCAGCCCCACAGAGCCUGGCAUGGCCUCCCAGGAAGUGACAUGGCGGGGAACAGGCUUAGGGUUAGGGGGAGGCUGUGCGAAGGCUGGCAUGCAGGUGAGAGGGCUUCUGAAGAGAAAGCAUUCUGGAAAAGUGCUUCAGCUCAGCCCCACCCAAACUCAAAUCCAGGGGAAGCCAGGCCAGCAAGACCUGAGGGUGCCAUGCCUUGGCAGGUGCCAGGCAACAGGAUCGUGCCUCGGUGGUGACGUGGGAGAUGCUGGAACCCGGGAGGUGAGAGGGAGUAAGUUUCCAGAACUCACUCUCAGGCAGGAGGAGACAUGACUCAGCUGAGCCAGAAAGCGCUCGUUCCACACGAAUGCACGUAUGAGUGAGGCACGCCAUGCGAGUGUGGGAGUGAGGGGAUGGAUGGGCGGUUGGCUGGAGGUCGUGAGGUCUGGGCCACCUGGAAAGGCUGUUGAGGGGCGGGGGCAGCUGGGAGAGGCUGUGGGGGCAGCAGAAGGGGGUGCUUAGCCGCAGAGAGGGCACGUGGGGAAAGGCCGUGUGUUCAAGGCCCCAAAAGGUGGGGAGGGCAGCCCAGGAGUGCACCGUAGGGGGUGCAAGCGUGUGGGUGGGUGAGACUGAUGCGUGUGUGCCUGUGUGAUUGUGAGCACAUGUGAAUGUGUGGAUGCAGGUGCUAGUCGUGAGUGUGCUUGUGUGAGCAUGUGACUGAGGGAGCAUGUGGGUGUGUGGAUGAGCGUGACUGUGGGGAUGACUGUGUGUGCAUGCAUGAGCACACAGGUGUGUGGAUGAGCGUGACCGUGGGAAUGACUGUGUGUGUGUGUGCAUACAUGAGCACACAGGUGUGUGGAUGAGCGUGACCGUGGGAAUGACUGUGUGUGUGCAUACAUGAGCACACAGGCGUGUGGAUGAGCGUGCAAGUGAGUCAUGUGAGUGUGGCUGAGUGUGAGCACGCAUGAGCUUGUGGGUGUGCAAGGGAGGUGGGGAGGCCACACGGAAUGAAAGCCUGGGGGCUGCAGCCGAUUCAGGGCCAGGCCGCCAUGGCGCAUAUGGGUGUCCAGGGGCUGGACCCCGAGAAGCUGAGAGCCAGUGCUGGAGAAGCUCCCCAAGGGGAAAGGGGCAUCCUCAGGCUUCAGUGUCUUCAGGGUCUCAGGGUGGCCCCGAAGGCCGACUACAGUCCCACUGGGGCACAGAGGCUGCUCUGGGCUUGGCUCUGCUAGACAGACCCCAUUUCCUCAGUGAACCCCGCUUCUGGGUCCAUGUUCCCCUUGACCCUGAACGCUUUCAGCUGCCCAGGAAAUACCUCCUUAUGGCUGGGAUGUUGCUCCACACGCGGACAGCAUUCUGCAGGGAUCCGCCGUGGACAUCUGGGAUGGUGACUGGCUCCAUCUGGGGGCGGGAGGGUCGGCCGUGGGUCAGGGGACCUGGACGGUAAGUGCCCCCCACAGGCCCACUGGCCUCAGCCGCCAAUGGCCCUGAGUGGUCAAUGGACUUUCUAGCCCGACUGUGUUCCCUACGUCCUUUUUUCUUAUAAAUCACCUUUGGAGAAAAAUGCUGAUGAAUUAUUUUAAACUGACAGAACAGACUCUGUGGCAAUAAGAUAUCAAAUUACAAACAGGACCUCAGGCCGCGCCAGGCAAGGGUCGAGCCGAGCAGCGUGCCCUACACUGAGAGGACGGAGUCUGCUCUCACGCCACAGCUGCUGCUUUUUCUGCAGCGGCUAAACACGCACUGGCCCCGCGAUGAGGAUGAGCAAGGUUCAAACGACUGCAGCUCAUCCACCUGCAGAUGCCAACUGACCACGUUCCACAGCCAUGACCACAGCUCUGACUGGGCAGGAGACUGACUUCAGGAACCCCCUCCUGAUAAGAGACCCCGACCACAGACUGGCUCCGGCCGGUUUACAGAGGUUGUGCGCUUGAGGGCCUGUGUCCUGAGAAGACCUCUGAGGUUUAGGGCCUCAUUGCGACACACUGACAUGAUAAGACUCCACCCCAGAGUGAACAGAGGUCGUAAGUUCCACGGAUUUUGUUCAGUACGCAUGCAGCAGGACCCCCUUCAUGAAUAUUCACCGCUCCUCCAUAACCUGCCGCACAGGUUUAGCCAACCCGGUCAGCACGGAGCUCCUGCCCCAGCCACCCCUCCCCUUCGAAGUGCCUCCUCCUGGCUCCUCUGGUCUUGGCAGAGGCCGUGCUUCCCAGCCUGGGGGACGGGACCUUGCAGGCUGUGCCCCUUUACAGAAACAAAGUCUCCUGUUCUAAAAGCACAGACUUUGUGAUUUUCAGCUCAUGGCGUUUGCUCCCCUUCUGAAUAGCUGGAUUUGCAUUCCAGCCACUCCACGAGAUUCCAGCACCAAAGGAACCUCAACGCCACCUGGACCCCCAGCAAAGGCUCUGGCCCACAGGUGCUGCCCACUCGGUGGGUCGGGCCCCCGCUGGCUGUGGCCCCUCCAUGGAACCUGAGAGCAUGAGGAAAUUCCCCCUCCUGAGCCUCACGCCUGUCUCCUGUGGCUGAGGUGUGGCCGUCCCUCCCCAACCCUGGAAGUGUCUGGAACACCCGGCCCAUCAGCCCCAGAGGGGACCCAUCCGCUGAGUCCAAAAGUGGCUGCUCUGACAAUCAGGAUUCAGACGUGUGAAGAAAAGGCUGUAUGUGUGUGGUGUGAGUAUGCGUGCACGUAGUGUGCCUGUGUGUAUGUGGCAAGUGUGUCCCUGUGUGUGGUGCAUGUGUACAGUGACUGUGCACUGCAGUGUGUGUGCACCUGUGUGUGUGGUGUGAUGUGUGUGUGUGUGGGUGGAGACUGAGGGGGCAGGGGCAGGAGGUGAGCCCCCGAGGCCGUGUUCUGUGAGCACAGGAGUGGUGUGAGGUGGGACUGCCUUCCAAUGCUGUCCUUGAAGGGGCUUUGUGUCCCAGGCCGCAGUCCCUGCCCGGACUGCACAGCAGCUCUCCUGGGCCCUGUACACUCCUGGAAACCAGGGGCCGCAAGGAGCCAGGCCCAGAGCCUGGGGUGUAGACUGAGCUCCACCAGAAAAGCCCCUCCCUCACGUGGGCAGGGGUCAGAGGGCGGCCCACGCAGCCCUGCACGCACCUCCAGGAAGCGAGAUGCAACGUCCAGGUCUUCCUUGUUCAGCACCAGAUUGUCCACGAACAUCCAGAAGAAGGGCCUGGGGCUGCCUGGCUUGGGCCGUGCGUACUGCAGGAGCCGGUGGAACUGGAACAGCAGCAAUGAAGCCCUGCCCAGUGCUGGGGCCACAGAGAUGCGAGGACCCCUCCUCCCCCAGGCAGGCCUAGAGUGGGGAAGAGACAGACAGGCAACCCCGAGGGAGGAGCUGACGCAGAGCGCGUGCCACGGCACAAAUACCGCCUUUUAGAGGAAGCUCCAGAGGACACGUGAGCUGCAGUGAUGUGGGCACGCUGGGGGCUGCACGGGGUCAGCGGGAGGCUUGGGGGCACAGGGAAGCCUGCAGUGAUGGGGACGCUUACUCUGUUGCUCAUGAUGAGGGGUGCAUGGGUGUGGAGCUAGCUCAGAACUCAUCCAGUCGGACACACUGAAUGCGUGCAACUUACUGUAUGUCAGUGGUGCCUCGAUAAAGCUGUUUUUGAAAAAUGCU